AAUGAAGCUUUAAUCAGCUGUGUGUUUUAGACACCUAUUUAUUUUAAUAAUAACCUCUAUUAAUAUGAUUUCAGUUUUAAAUUUUGUUGGGGGUAUUUUGUAGUUAAAACAUUAAACAUUAAGACAAUGUUAUUAAGUAAGGUAUCUUUAACACCUUCAGUUUCUAACAAGAAACAUGUUAGCCCCAAUUUCAAAUCUGAGGUGGAUGUCUCUCCAAAUCUUAACACGAGUGAGGAAGAAGAAGAACUUUUGGGUCAAGAUGUAAGAAAACACUGGGAGAUUGGUCCAUUAUUAUUUGCUGCUCCUUAUCAUGACAUAGACUUCACCAGUCCAGCUUGUCAGUUCUACUAUCUCCAGUACGCAUGCAAUGGAUUACCUGACCGCCAACUAGUGGGUCCGGUGAGACAGGCUUAUUAUCAAGUACUUGCGAGACUUAACCAUUCAGAACUUCAAGUGAAGAAUUUUAUAUUGCCAGUACAACUUAUGAAAUUAAAAUAUAUUGAUCCCUACUCACGGCAAAGAAUUAUAGAAAAUAUAUGUCGAUAUCUAAGUUUACAGACAUGUCUGAGGAGUGUUGUGCUAGAAGAGGCCGAAAUCACAUUUGCUGAUUUGUGCAGAUUCCUCCUGGCUCUCAAUGUCAAUUCUCACAUCAGAAAGCUUUAUCUCUGGGGUGUCUUAAAGAAGUGUGAGACUCCUUUCACUGGCCCCUUGCAAAGUGACACAGAUCUUGAUAAUUUACCUCGAAUCCCAUACACUUACAAUCCUGGAGGCCGAAAAUACCUAAAAAAACUAGCAGCACUAAAAUAUGAGGAGAUGUUAAUAGACAAGGUGUCGCUAAAGGACUUUCACAGGACUAUAAAAGAUUCUUGGAGAAUCACAAAUGUUUUGAGAGCUUGGAUGGGAAAUCUACUAAAUGCUUGUGUUAACAACUCAAAUCAAAUGUUAGACCCAAAAUUAUCUACAAUUGAAAAUUAUAACAAAUUGUUGAGAACUCUGAAUGAGCUACCAGACUCAAGAAAACAUGUAUUUUUUCAGAAAGAAGUUGGAAUCCAGUGUUGUAUUUCACAAGAUGGUGGAGUGGGAAGUGGUUCAUCGGAUAAUGGUUUACACAAGCCAUCCACAAGUGGAUCAGUAGGGAAAGAUGUAAUCGACUUUUGCAGAAAUUAUCUCAAAAUUCAUGAAAACAAUAAGAUUGAUAUCGGAAUAUUGAGAGAAAUAUACAAGUUGGCAUUGACUGGGCUGACCAACAUCACAACACUGUCAAUGAACUACAGUCUCCUGGCCGAUGGCACCGGAGAGACCCUGUUGUCGAUCGGGAGUUUGGUUAAGGGCAAACUGAGGAACUUGGAAUUGCUGUGUGAAAAGAGAGAGGCUCCUUCGUCAGCACAUUUGCUGUAUCAACAGGAUGCCUGUCAUGCAAUUCCUGAUCUUAUCUGGAAACAAGUCAUUAAAGCAGUGUCCAUAUUUAAAAGUUCACCUUGUCUGUGUGUCCAUCUCCACCUACGAUUACUUGAAACUGUUUAUCACCAAGUCAAUGCCUCUCAAGAGCCUCCAUAUUGAUAAUGGUUUUUGUCCCACCUUGGACAUGCCACAAUUGAUGUUCUUCAGUGUCCUCAAGUUUUUAUACCUUAAUUUUAAAGAAACUUUAGAGGAGGUUAGUUUUCUGUUAUGGCAUUCAUCUGGAAGAAUUGACAGUGAGCUUGAAAAGUUCAUAAAGGAGGCACCACAUUUAAGUCAUUUUGAAUAUUAUGGACCAUUACAGUACAAGUCCACUAUAAGCAAA